AAACAAAAGUCUAAAAAAACAACCAAAAAAGAAGUCCUCUUUCUUGCUCUUUCACUUUUCUCUUUCUCUUUCUCUUUCUCUUUCUCUUU
rnacentral:ribozyme from 1 species